UCUUUUAUCUCUAAAAUUAUGGUGGCUAAAGUUGAACUGAAACUCUGGGGGCGAAAUAACUUUCAAUAACUUUCCGUUAUAUUGGCCCGGUAGCAGAACGUACUGUUAAUUGUUCAGUGAGAGCCCCGUACGGCAUCAGAAGUGAUAAUGUGGACAUGAGUAAAAAAUCAUAGGAUCACUCCCCCCCUGGUUUCCCAUAUUAAUUAUGGGGUUAAACAGCCCCUAAAAUCGCAGUCCCAAAGGUUGCGUUGAUGGGGGGCCAUGAGUAAUAGACGCACAAAGUGCCAGGAAAGAAUUAUUCAAGCCCUUCCCAGAAGGUAUCCUUCCCAGAAGGUAUCCUUCUGGCAAGGGUACUGUACUAAACUAACUAAAGUGGGGGAUAGUGAGGGGAUAAAUUUUCUUAAGGAACUCGGCCAAAUCCCAAUGGCCCACCAGGGCAUAUUGGAACACGGGCCUCGACUGUUUACCAAAAACAUAGCCCUCGGCUAAUAUGAAAAUAGAUGUAUAGAGGGUGAUGCCUGCCCAAUGGUUGUAUCUAAAAGCGGUUGAUAAAAGUCGACCUCGUAAGGACAAUUGAAUGGCCGCGGUAACACUGACCGUGAUAAUGUAGCGUAAUCAAUAGCCAAUUAAUUGUUGGCCAGUAUGAAUGGCGCCACGAAGGCCCCACUGUCUUAAGGAAAUUCCCAGUGAAAUUGAAUUCGUAGUGAAGAUGCUACGUGCAAUUUGUUAGACGAAAAGACCCCGUUGAGCUUUACUGGAGCACUUACAUGGCCCUGGCCUUCCCAUGCUUGGGAACCGGCCGAAUUUCCCUAUCAAAUGAUAGGCUACUAGAAAAUGGGCGGCUUAGAUUAUGUGGCAGCCCCCCGCUGGGGCAAAUGAAACCCCACUCCCCCAUGUCAAAGGGGCUAACCCCCCCCCUUGGGGGGACAGUGUAAGUAGGACAGUUUGGUUGGGGCGACCGCCUUUUAAAGAGUAACGAAGGUGCGCUUAAGGUGCGCAAUUAAUGACUGAAGCCUGACUGCGAGGGGGACACCCCGAGCAGACACCCCAAAGCCCGCCCGAAGGGCGGCGGUGGGGUGGGCCAUAGUGACCCGUUAAUUUAGAGUGGAAUAGUUAACGAUCAACGAAUAAAAGUUACCACGGGGAUAACAGCGUAAUAUCGUUAGAGAGUUCACAUCGACGACGAUGUUUGCGACCUCGAUG
rnacentral:rRNA from 1 species